rnacentral:sRNA from 1 species
GGAUCGAUCGGGAUACUCAUCAAAUUAAAAACUGAAACCGAGAUGAUUUUACCGUCCAAUGGCGGGCCACAACCCAGCAGUCGCCAUGUCUCAGAGCAUGGGGUUUCGGCUUCUGGAAACCUCCGAGUCGGUGGAUUACAAAGGGCGGUAAAUACUCAAAUCUUAUUACGUCGGAGUUUCAUCACAUCUCCUCCCGGCUUUAU